UCCGGCUCCAUUUCUCACCUUUUUCCCAAGAGGACACACAUACCCCGCUCAACUUGACGCCUAAAGCAGCCGCUUCCAGGCCUGGGGUUUCGGAUAGGCCAAGCCGGCUGCUGCCGACCCGCACGCCGCCCCGGGCCCCGGCUCCUCUCUAGGCGGUGGCCGCGCCGUCGCCUGCUCGGCUGCGGGAUGCUUGCUCCCAAGGUCCCAGGCGUCCAGGUUGAUCGCCAGCCCCUUACCCUGGUGAGGGAGGCCUUGCGCCCUGCAGAAGCCCCGGGCCCUGCGGCGGCGGCGGCGGCAUCCUCCUGGUCGCCUCCUCGCUUUCCUCCACCCGAGCUCCGCCGGCUGCUCCUUGGGAGGAAGGGGACUCGCUAGACCAGGCCGAGGCCCAGGUACCUGGGAGGGGGUCGCGUCAGGUCUGCGGGAAGGCGCUCAGGCUUCUCCGCAGGAGGCCAGGAUCAGCUUUGUGGCGGUGGCACAGGGAGAAUCAGGACCACCUUUCCCCCUUACCCCCGGCCAGGAUCCCCCUUUCCCUCCCCCGCCCGCCAAGGGAGGAGGAAGCCCGGCCUGCUCUUGCCGGCGAGGCGGGUCAGGCCGGCGCCUGGCCUGGCCCGGACCCCCGCAGCCCGGCUCUCCGCCUCAGGCCACGCGCCGCAGCCUCUCCAGCCUCGCUCCCUUCCCCCUUCCUUCCCCGUGGGUCCCGAGGCCGACCUCGGCCCUCCCUCCUCGGCAUCCCCCUCCCAUCCUUUUCCCUUCCCCGCUGCCCUGUGCUCCGGGCUCCGGGGCUGGGCCCGUGACGUCAAACCCAGUGUGGCGUCGGCGAGACUGGCCGGCGCGGGCCAUCAAAAGAGCAACGUCCUCUCUCCCAAUUACCCACUGUCAGUCCGGGAACUGGGGCGGGCCGGCUGGGAAUUAAAUGCUAAAUACCCCCUACCGGCUGGCUCCAUUACCCGGGACAUCCAGCCCCAGGCCCCCCACCCCUCUCUGCCAGCCUCAAACCACCCAGACCAAGAAGGGCCUUCGAGAUCUUUUAUUUUUCUAAAGGUGGGGGUUGCCCUUCUCCAUCCCCGGCCAGUCCGACUUGGUGCUCGCGAUUGAAUUUAAACGAAUAAUCCCUACUUCCCCAUCCAAAAUUAGCGGAUAGGCGCCCUUGCACCGGAAGGCCUCCUCACCAGUCUUUUCUUUUUGUCUUUGAAAUAAUUCUUAGCCUCAGAAGUCAGCAUUUUCAAGACCUGGCAUCCGCAGCGUUUCUGACGCGGGGACUUCUCUCUUCGGCUCUGAGGUCUCCGCGCGCAGAACCCAUGGCAGCUUUUGGUCUUACGCGUGGCUGUGAGCUGGGCUCACGCUGCGUGGCGCAUCCACCCCUCGAUUGACGCGCGGAGAAGCAUUUUUCAUUUUUUCUUUCAGCUUGUAUCCUUAAAUCUUAAUCCCGGGCUUCUUAGCAAAAAUGCGUGUGCAUUCGUUUCUCCUUGUUUAUGGAGAGGUUUCCGGUGAAUGUUAGACAGCAACUAAAUAAUUAAAAGGUUUAGAGAGCGCUGUGAGCAGGAGAAGAUGCGGGCAGCCUGGCUGGCCCAGGAGAGACGAGUGGUCAGAGAAUGAAAGGAAAAUCGAUGCCUCUUAACUGGGCCGCCUAAUAACGGGAGACCAAGUGGGCUCAGGAGAAACGUGGCGGGGGGGGGGGGAGCUUUCUUUAAAAAAUUGGGGUUCUUUCUUUCUGUCCUAUAUAUGGAAAUUCAGCCCUGAUUUCAAACAAACAUCAGAUUUAAGAAGGUGAGGACUCCAAAGAAGAUCCAAACGCGAGACCAGGAAGAUUCACGUUUCCACUACUUCUUCCAAUACAUUUCACUAAUCUUUCUACAGGGAUAGUGUUUUAAAACACGACGACCCUCACACACCAAGGUGAAGUUGAAUAUUGUUGUUGUUCCUUCACCGCAUGAAAGGAAUCCUUCAGAACUUACUUUCAGGGACGGCUUCUUCUAUCUCGAAUUUUUGCAUUUGUAGGGAAUUUUAUGGGGUAGAGGAGCGAAGAGGGAACAAUGUCUCCAAUUCAAAUAAAACCCCAAAUUAAGCUCUCAGCCCCAUCGGUGGGAUAGCCUGCGGGGGAACCCACUCCCUCUCCUGGCAGCAUUGCCCUGGGGGCGAGCAGAGAGUGGAUUUGGAGUCUUCUUUUCCCGCCUGACCCCUGCUCGCCCGAGCAGCAUUUUCGGGCCAGCGGCUGCAGCCACCCGGGCGCCGCUAGGGGAUGCAGUGGCUCAAAGGACCGAGCGGGCGGUGCAGGUUGGAACCCGCGGGGCGGACCAAUCGCGGCUCGGCCACAGCCUCGCCCGCUGAUUGGUCCCUCCAGGCCCCGCCCCCGCUCGCCCCGCCCCUCUCGCUGGGGCGCCUCGGAGCCGCGUGCCCUCCGCCCCGGGGUGCCCAUUGCGCAGAGCGUGGCCUGGAGACCCGCGAGCCGGGGAAGGUCGCCGUGGAGUCCCGACCAGAGGCCGGGGUUGGGGUCGGUGCAGACCGAGGGCUGGUUUCCUUGACUGUGGGAGAAACGCCGGGAGCCGGAGUAAGUAGGGCUCCGGGCGGGGCGAAAGGAAAAGUUGGGUCCCUAGAGUGAAGACCGAGUUCUUUCUGUCCGUCUACACUGAGCGUACUCGGGGAAUGAGUUAGAGCCAGUCUCUUCCUCCCCUCCCCCCUUCUCAUCCCUCACUGUUGCCACUCAAGUCAAAAGCACACAUUGAUUACAAAUAUUAGGUCUGGAAAGGGCAGCUGCAACAGCUGAAGCGUGUUCACUCUGGGGGCUUGAGAGCGCAGAAGGCUCGGGAAAGAGGUGACAAUGACAACAAAAUUGACGCGGACGCUCCAGUCAAAGGCAUCUCCCCUUUAUCCGAUGACUCACCCUCUUAGGAAGUCGGCCCGAGAGGCAAAUCUCAAAAUACCUUGACAUGAAACAUUUUGUUUUUCUGAUCAAUUUAACGCGCACGUUUCCCCACAUCGAUGCGCUCUCCCAAACACCCUGCAUUAGAUCCUAAUAAUGAUCCAUGCGUGCCUAUUUUUUAAAAGUCUGAAAAAGAAAAUUCUGCCCAUCGAAAUGAACUUCAUGAAUGGGGCAGGCUGGCUGCACCGGGACGGAAUCGUCCACCCGACCCGAAUGAAUUGGCAGGAGCCGCGGCCACAUUUAAAGGGCCAGAGCGCGCGUUCCCUCCCGUCCGCC
rnacentral:lncRNA from 1 species